GUAGGGGCCAAGCGUUGUCCAGAAUCAUUGGGCGUAAAGAGCUCGUAGGCGGUUCGGUAAGUCGGGUGUGAAAUCUCCACGCUCAACGUGGAGGGGCCACUCGAUACUGCCGUGACUAGAGUCCAGUAGGGGAGUGUGGAAUUCCCGGUGUAGCGGUGAAAUGCGCAGAUAUCGGGAGGAACACCAGCGGCGAAGGCGGCACUCUGGGCUGGUACUGACGCUGAGGAGCGAAAACGUGGGGAGCGAACAGGAUUAGAUACCCUGGUAGUCCACGCCGUAAACGUUGGGCACUAGGUGUGGGGGUCUAUCGACGACCUCUGUGCCGAAGCUAACGCAUUAAGUGCCCCGCCUGGGGAGUACGGCCGCAAGGCUA
rnacentral:rRNA from 1 species